CAAUAAAGUUGAACAACUUGAACUUAUCAACAAAGAGAGAACUUAAAAGUCCCGAUUUUGACUUUUGCAGACAAUAAAAUAUUCAGAUCACGUUGUGUUUACACACCUGUGAAGGGUCCCACUUCUCAAUAUAAAUGACCGAGUCUUCUUGUGAACCCUGUGAAGCGUCAGCCAGUUGAAGAUGCCCUUCGUCGUGCCCUGGUGGUAUUUAAGGGGAGAGUGGAGCUCCUCUGUCCCAAUCUAAACUUAGCUCUGCCAGAACCACUCCUCAUCAAAACGUGCUCCACAAAAGAUUACAAAAGGGAUCAAGUUAGACUUGACUGAGUCAGACUAUUUUGUAGCUGAGCCUCCUAUAACAAGGUGAGUGUAUGCUCUGGAUAUCUUUAGGUGCUGCUGUCAAUUUAGUAAUUUUUAUUAAUCUCAAAUGACCGUUUAAUCUUAGAGCUGCUUUUAGAUGUGUCACACAUUGCUCACUGCUAUGGCAUGAGUGACAUUUUUUUCAGUUUCCAAACCUAUAAAAAGAUCAAUGUCAAGCAUGGAUGACUCCUUAACAAAGCAUGAUCUGGUGCUUAUCUAAAUCAACUUGUUUGAUUUCUGCUCUAACAUUUUGCAGGGUUUUUUUUUCUUUCAUUGUCUGCACUCGUAUUCCUCUGUCACCACGGGCAACUUUAUCUCGGCACUCAUUCCUGGUAACAAUCAUGAUGGAGGAGAAAAUGCAGGAGAGACACUCUGACGGUAUCAUGAACUCUUCAUCUCACCAAGAAAGCUCGAGCUCAAACAGAUCUACACUGAAGGCCACAGAACCUGGAAGCAUGUCCACGCAGUCUUUCUCUUCUCUGCUGCCAAAGGCUCUCUCUGCUGUGCUCCAUCCAGCUCCUCCACCAGGCCAAAACUCAGCUUGCCAUCCCAGCAGAAACCCAGAUAACCACUCACCAAACCUGGAACGACUACAAACAGAGCUGAGAGACCUUCGAGAUCAGUUGGAACAGAUGAAGAGCCAGCACAACAAAGAAAUUAAACUGUUAAUGAACGAGCUUGAUGAGGAGAAGAGGAUCCGCCUGACUUUGCAGGUAAAGAAAAGGCAUGAUGGAGUGAGUCUGUUGAACCGCUAA
ensembl:lncRNA